rnacentral:tRNA from 1 species
GUGGGUAUAGCUCAGUGGUAGAGCACAUGCUUAGUAUGCAGGAGGUCCUGGGUUCAAUGCCCAGCACCCCCA